GUGAGGAAUCUUGCGCAAUGGGGGAAACCCUGACGCAGCAACGCCGCGUGAGUGAGGAAGGUCUUCGGAUCGUAAAGCUCUGUCAGAUGGAAAGAACCGCACGGGGGUAAACAGCCCCUGUGUCUGACGGUACCAUCAGAGGAAGCACCGGCUAACUCCGUGCCAGCAGCCGCGGUAAUACGGGGGGUGCAAGCGUUGUUCGGAAUUAUUGGGCGUAAAGAGCGUGUAGGCGGCCUGAUAUGUCAGAUGUGAAAGCCCUGGGCUUAACCCAGGAAGUGCAUUUGAAACUGUCAGGCUCGAGUAGGGGAGAGGGAAGUGGAAUUCCUGGUGUAGAGGUGAAAUUCGUAGAUAUCAGGAGGAACACCGGUGGCGAAGGCGACUUCCUGGCCCUAUACUGACGCUGAGACGCGAGAGCGUGGGUAGCAAACAGGAUUAGAUACCCCUGUAGUCC
rnacentral:rRNA from 1 species